UGGGGCCACCUUACUAGUGCCAGAGCUGGGAUGCAGAUUCCAUUCAGCUCGCCCAGAGCUGAGCUUCUCGCCCUCCACUGCCCACCCCUGCCACCACCGCCCUCUGAUCACCUCCCAUCAGCACUGACACAAGAAGGCAGAGCACGGCUCGCCUCACCUCAGCUGGGAAUGUAGGCAUUGAGUGACUCUAAUGUCUUGGUUCCCUGCAUAUGUCCAUGAGUGACCACAAAAAUGCUGCAAAUACUGAUUUGGGGGUUAUAAAUAAAUGUUAGGGAGUAGGUGAAUUUGCAAAGACAGAACAAAGCAAAGGUGGAAAACAGGGAGUAUGGCAUUUCUUUGUAUCAUUGAAGAUCAACAUCUUAAUUUAUCAUCAGCCUCAUAGCCAUUGAGAAGGCUAGGAUAACAUUGAGUCCUUGACCUCUAAGAGAUUUUAAUUUGGUGGAGGAAUUCUUAAAACAGCAUUAGCUGAGUCAGAGCCAAAGCGGGGUCAGGCGAGAGGAUGGGGAAGGAAGUGCUGAGGACUGAGACAGCAGAGAUGUUAGAGUUCCCAAGAGGGGCCAUCCCUGAGGGCCAGAUUCAGGGGACUUUGGGGGAACGGUCACAGGGGCCGCAACUUGGGGCAGGUUUGGCACGAGGGGUUUAAUGUGAGGGAGAGGAAGCCAGCGAAAGGCAUUCUGGGCCUCAUAGGUCAAGUUAUAAAAGUUUCCGUAAAAUCUCUGCUGGUGUCUGGGACAUAUUCAGCCAAGGCCUUUCUUUAGCUGGGAGGGUGCAAAUACCAGUUCUAGCCCGGAGUGAAAACAGCUGUGCGUCUCUCAUGCGCCCCCUCGCCCCCGUGUCUCUGUUAACUCACCUGCACGUUGUUCAAUGACAAUUAUGCUUUCUGGUUCCUCACCUAUUCAAACCCUCAGACUGUAAUGGCAAAUACAUCUCCACAGUGGCAACUAAAUGCUGAUUUUUGUUCUGCAGAAAUCAUGGCGCUUUGAGUCAUGAAGCUGGCGGUGUGAGGUUUGCUUGGGCAGAUCUCCUAGUGUAGGCCAGGAGUGGGUCAGAAACCUGCCUUAGAAAGAACACGGUCUUCAGAUGCUACAGGGCAGUGUGGUGACCAGUAGAAACUCCACACUUAUUGAGUGGCAAAUGGUACAGGAGAUGAAACUAUAGUCACUAGAGAAACUGAACUGAGGAUGGAUGAGAGCUCCAACCAGGACACACAAGAGGAUGACCAGCUGAGGUUAAGUGACACUGAGUGGCGCCAAUCCACAAGGUUGUAUUCAUUUCUCCUCUAGUAGUAGGAGAUAUUGAUCAAAUCUCAGGACCAUUUCUUUAAAGGGGAACUUGAUUUGUUCACCUGCCAUCAGAUGCCCCAGGAAGCCCCAAUACAGUCACCUGCUGCUGUGUGAUUAUUUCCACAGCCUGAGACUCUCACCAGAGGCCAUUAGCUAGUUCUGGCCCCGAAUUCUUCUUCUUCUAGCCAGACUGGUUGCACAGGAUCUUGAGCUCUCCCUGGCGUCCACAAAUUGAUAAAUUGGUAUUUUGUUCUGUUUUUCUCUUUUCUUAAGAAGCUGCUUUCUUGUGAAAAGAUGGAUGUUGUUGUAGCCUCUCCAUCCCCCAACCUCAGUCUUCCACAUGUUCUCAAAAAUAAUAGCUAAGUGUGUUGCAACAACACUUAUCAACUCUUUAAGUCUCCCACUUUGCUGGUUUGAAUCUACACAACUUCCAACAAUUUUUCCUCUAUGGAGUAUAAUUUGACACAUACUUUUCCACCCAUGGGAGGUGAUACUUGUCUCGGUCUGUGACUACGGUAAUUCUUUUAUAAAUAUAAAUUAAUCAAGUUGCAUGAACUAAGAACCUACUUUGAAACUAACACUUAAAGGUGUCAAAAGAUUAUAAAAGGUUUUUGUUGCAAUAGUGUGUUAGUGUAGACUCCAGUGUGUUUGGAUGUGACCAAACUAAUAUUGAUACAUGGUUGAAAGGCAUAAAAUAAGUUGACAAAUACAAAAUUACAAAUCAGCUUCUGAACUCCA